AUUUAGGUAGUUUAAUUAAAACAAUGAUUUGUGGUGUCAUAAAAAUAAAUAUUUAAUUUUAUUCUAAGUU
rnacentral:tRNA from 1 species